UACGGAGGGGGCUAGCGUUGUUCGGAAUUACUGGGCGUAAAGCGCACGUAGGCGGCUUUGUAAGUUAGAGGUGAAAGCCUGGAGCUCAACUUCAGAAUUGCCUUUAAUACUGCCUCGCUCGAAUCCGGGAGAGGUGAGUGGAAUUCUGAGUGUAGAGGUGAAAUUCGUAGAUAUUCGGAAGAACACCAGUGGCGAAGGCGGCUCACUGGACCGGUAUUGACGCUGAGGUGCGAAAGCUUGGGGAGCAAACAGG
rnacentral:rRNA from 1 species